UAAUACAGGGGGUGCAAGCGUUGCUCGGAAUUACUGGGCGUAAAGCGUGCGCAGGCGGUUUGACAAGUCGGGGGUGAAAACCCGGGGCUCAACCCCGGAAUUGCCUCCGAAACUGUCAGACUUGAAUACGAGAGAGGGUCGCGGAAUUCUUGGUGUAGAGGUGAAAUUCGUAGAUAUCAGGAAGAACACCAGUGGCGAAAGCGGCGACCUGGCUCGAUAUUGACGCUCAUGCACGAAAGCGUGGGGAGCAAACAGGAUUAGAUACCCUGGUAGUCCACGCCGUAAACGAUGAGUGCUAGCUGCUGGACAUGUCUACCAUUUCAGUGGCGUCGCUAACGCAUUAAGCACUCCGCCUGGGAAGUACGGUCGCAAGACUA
rnacentral:rRNA from 1 species